UACGUAGGUCCCGAGCGUUAUCCGGAUUUAUUAGGCGUAAAGCGAGCGCAGGUGGUUUAUUAAGUCUGGUGUAAAAGGCAGUGGCUCAACCAUUGUAUGCAUUGGAAACUGGUAGACUUGAGUGCAGGAGAGGAGAGUGGAAUUCCAUGUGUAGCGGUGAAAUGCGUAGAUAUAUGGAGGAACACCGGUGGCGAAAGCGGCUCUCUGGCCUGUAACUGACACUGAGGCUCGAAAGCGUGGGGAGCAAACAGG
rnacentral:rRNA from 1 species